rnacentral:rRNA from 1 species
GGGUUGUGAGGUUAAGCGACUAAGCGUACACGGUGGAUGCCCUGGCAGUCAGAGGCGAUGAAGGACGUGCUAAUCUGCGAUAAGCGUCGGUAAGGUGAUAUGAACCGUUAUAACCGGCGAUUUCCGAAUGGGGAAACC